CCAAUAGCGUAUAUUAAAGUUGUUGCAGUUAAAAAGCUCGUAGUUGAAUUUCGGGGUCAGUAGAUUGGUCAUGCCACUGGUAUGUACUGGUCUCACUGAUUCCUCCUUCCUGAUGAGCCGUAAUGCCAUUAAUUUGGUGUUGCGAGGAAUCUGGACUGUUACUUUGAAAAAAUUAGAGUGUUUAAAGCAGGCUAACGCUUGAAUACAUUAGCAUGGAAUAAUGAAAUAGGACGUUCGAUCUUAUUUUGUUGGUUUCUAAGAUUGACGUAAUGAUUACUAGGGAUAGUUGUUGGCAUUAGUAUUCAAUUGUCAGAGGUGAAAUUCUUGGAUUUAUUGAAGACUAACUACUGCGAAAGCAUUUGCCAAGGAUGAUUUCAUUAAUCAAGAACGAAAGUUAGGGGAUCGAAGACGAUCAGAUACCGUCGUAGUCUUAACCAUAAACUAUGCCGACUAGGGAUCGGAUGAUGUUAAUUUUUUAAUGACUCAUUCGGCGCCUUACG
rnacentral:rRNA from 1 species